rnacentral:pre_miRNA from 11 species
GUCCGCCCGGGAUAAUAGAUUAUCCCGUGCGGUUGAGUUAUACCAACCGCACGGAAUAAUCUAUUAUCCCCGUGCGGCC